rnacentral:lncRNA from 1 species
AUGUUAAGUUGCUGCAUUUUUGUCAGGGUUUGGUCAGAGAGCUGGGAUUGAUCUGAACUUUGGGGGAUUACGUCUAAACACAAAUGUUCCCAAAUUCUGUCUUACAGAAACAGCUGGGAUGUUUGGGAAACAAAGACUGGAGCACAAACUUGAGAGACUUUUAGAAGAAUAAAUGAAAAAAACCCAACAACUCAACAAACGAGCAUGAAGAAUUGGGAGCGGGGGGAGGCGUUCUUCCAGAGGGACCUUUGCCUUGGUGAGGAUCUUCUUUGCAGCAUUUCCUGCAGGAAGUGUCAAAAAGGGAAUCGCAUACACUUACAAAAUGGGCAUGCUCGUCGACACAGAAAGAAACAGAGGGACAAACUACCUGCUGUAGCCCAGCAAAACCUGUAUGAACUGAAUGAUGGUUUAAUAGGGUGUUUCCAAGGAAAGAAAACAUCCAGAAAGUUGGUUCAUUUAUCAGAGUUCUUCUUAUGACAGAAUCAAGAGUGAGAGGACACCCAAUCUAAAAUGCACUUCUUGACAAGUCUGCUAAACAGCCUUGUAUCAAUGAGGCCACUUGCAGAAGAUUUUGUCCCCACAUUUAUUCCGACUUUGGGGAAGAAAUAAACAGCCAUGAAAAAAUGCA